UAAUCUCUAUUAAAAAAAAAUCUUUGCCAUUGGAGUGCUGAGCCCGCAGAAUCGCUGCCAUGGCUAAGGCCGAUGUGAAUCCGAAGGCCUAUCCCCUCGCCGAUGCCCACCUCACCAAGAAACUACUGGACCUUAUUCAGCAGUCAUGUAACUGUAAGCAGCUUCUUUGGAAAGGAGCCAAUGAGGCCACCAAAACCCUCAACAGGGGCAUCUCUGAGUUCAUUGUGAUGGCUGCAGAUGCCGAGCCACUGGAGAUGAUUCUGCACCUCCCGCUGCUGUGCGAAGACAAGAACGUGCCGUAUGUGUUUGUGCACUCCAAGCAAGCCCUGGGGAGAGCCUGUGGGGUCUCCAGGCCUGACAUCACCUGUUCUGUCACCAUCAAAGAAGGCUCACAACCGAAACAGCAGAUCCCUCCAUUCAGCAGUCCAUGAAAGGCUCUUGGUCUAAACCUGUGGCCUCUGCCACGUGCUCCCUGCCAAAUUCUCCCCCGAGGUUGUGUAUCAUAUUGUUUGUGUAUCAUAUUGUUUGUGUUAGCAUGUAGUAGUUUCAGCUAUUCUUUAUUGUUAUAAAAUGUUGUAGUAC